AUGCUCGCUUCGGUAGCACAUAUACUACUAAAAUUGGACAAUACAGAGAAGAUUAGCAUGGCCUCUGCACAAGGAUGACAUGUAAAUUUGUGAAACAUUCCAUACUUUU